UUGGGGUGUGACUGCGUACCUUUUGUAUAAUGGGUCAGCGACUUAUAUUCUGUAGCAAGGUUAACCGAAUAGGGGAGCCGGAGGGAAACCGAGUCUUAAUUGGGCGUUAAGUUGCAGGGUAUAGACCCGAAACCCGGUGAUCUAGCCAUGGGCAGGUUGAAGGUUGGGUAACACUAACUGGAGGACCGAACCGACUAAUGUUGAAAAAUUAGCGGAUGACCUGUGGCUGGGGGUGAAAGGCCAAUCAAACCGGGAGAUAGCUGGUUCUCCCCGAAAGCUAUUUAGGUAGCGCCUCGUGAAUUCAUCUCCGGGGGUAGAGCACUGUUUCGGCUAGGGGGCCAUCCCGGCUUACCAACCCGAUGCAAACUGCGAAUACCGGAGAAUGUUAUCACGGGAGACACACGGCGGGUGCUAACGUCCGUCGUGAAGAGGGAAACAACCCAGACCGCCAGCUAAGGUCCCAAAGUCAUGGUUAAGUGGGAAACGAUGUGGGAAGGCCCAGACAGCCAGGAUGUUGGCUUAGAAGCAGCCAUCAUUUAAAGAAAGCGUAAUAGCUCACUGGUCGAGUCGGCCUGCGCGGAAGAUGUAACGGGGCUAAACCAUGCACCGAAGCUGCGGCAGCGACACUGUGUGUUGUUGGGUAGGGGAGCGUUCUGUAAGCCUGUGAAGGUGGCCUGUGAGGGUUGCUGGAGGUAUCAGAAGUGCGAAUGCUGACAUAAGUAACGAUAAAGCGGGUGAAAAGCCCGCUCGCCGGAAGACCAAGGGUUCCUGUCCAACGUUAAUCGGGGCAGGGUGAGUCGACCCCUAAGGCGAGGCCGAAAGGCGUAGUCGAUGGGAAACAGGUUAAUAUUCCUGUACUUGGUGUUACUGCGAAGGGGGGACGGAGAAGGCUAUGUUGGCCGGGCGACGGUUGUCCCGGUUUAAGCGUGUAGGUGUGUGUUCCAGGUAAAUCCGGUUCACUUUAACACUGAGGCGUGAUGACGAGGCACUACGGUGCUGAAGCAACAAAUGCCCUGCUUCCAGGAAAAGCCUCUAAGCAUCAGGUAACAUCAAAUCGUACCCCAAACCGACACAGGUGGUCAGGUAGAGAAUACCAAGGCGCUUGAGAGAACUCGGGUGAAGGAACUAGGCAAAAUGGUGCCGUAACUUCGGGAGAAGGCACGCUGACACGUAGGUGAAGUGAUUUACUCAUGGAGCUGAAGUCAGUCGAAGAUACCAGCUGGCUGCAACUGUUUAUUAAAAACACAGCACUGUGCAAACACGAAAGUGGACGUAUACGGUGUGACGCCUGCCCGGUGCCGGAAGGUUAAUUGAUGGGGUCAGCGCAAGCGAAGCUCCUGAUCGAAGCCCCGGUAAACGGCGGCCGUAACUAUAACGGUCCUAAGGUAGCGAAAUUCCUUGUCGGGUAAGUUCCGACCUGCACGAAUGGCGUAAUGAUGGCCAGGCUGUCUCCACCCGAGACUCAGUGAAAUUGAACUCGCUGUGAAGAUGCAGUGUACCCGCGGCAAGACGGAAAGACCCCGUGAACCUUUACUAUAGCUUGACACUGAACAUUGAGCCUUGAUGUGUAGGAUAGGUGGGAGGCUUUGAAGUGUGGACGCCAGUCUGCAUGGAGCCGACCUUGAAAUACCACCCUUUAAUGUUUGAUGUUCUAACGUGGACCCGUAAUCCGGGUUGCGGACAGUGUCUGGUGGGUAGUUUGACUGGGGCGGUCUCCUCCUAAAGAGUAACGGAGGAGCACGAAGGUUGGCUAAUCCUGGUCGGACAUCAGGAGGUUAGUGCAAUGGCAUAAGCCAGCUUGACUGCGAGCGUGACGGCGCGAGCAGGUGCGAAAGCAGGUCAUAGUGAUCCGGUGGUUCUGAAUGGAAGGGCCAUCGCUCAACGGAUAAAAGGUACUCCGGGGAUAACAGGCUGAUACCGCCCAAGAGUUCAUAUCGACGGCGGUGUUUGGCACCUCGAUGUCGGCUCAUCACAUCCUGGGGCUGAAGUAGGUCCCAAGGGUAUGGCUGUUCGCCAUUUAAAGUGGUACGCGAGCUGGGUUUAGAACGUCGUGAGACAGUUCGGUCCCUAUCUGCCGUGGGCGCUGGAGAACUGAGGGGGGCUGCUCCUAGUACGAGAGGACCGGAGUGGACGCAUCACUGGUGUUCGGGUUGUCAUGCCAAUGGCACUGCCCGGUAGCUAAAUGCGGAAGAGAUAAGUGCUGAAAGCAUCUAAGCACGAAACUUGCCCCGA
rnacentral:rRNA from 1 species